rnacentral:rRNA from 1 species
AGCUCCAAAAGCGUAUAUUAAAGUUGUUGCAGUUAAAAAGCUCGUAGUUGAACCUUGGGCUUGGUUAGCCGGUCCGCCUUUUGGUGAGUACUGGAUCUAACCGAGCCUUUCCUUCUGGGUAACCUUUCUUUCGGGGAAGGCGAACCAGGACUUUUACUUUGAAAAAAUUAGAGUGUUCAAAGCAGGCCUUUGCUCGAAUAUAUUAGCAUGGAAUAAUAGAAUAGGACGUUAUGGUUCUAUUUUGUUGGUUUCUAGGACCAUCGUAAUGAUUAAUAGGGACGGACGGGGGUAUCAGUAUUCAGUUGUCAGAGGUGAAAUUCUUGGAUUUACUGAAGACUAACUACUGCGAAAGCAUUUACCAAGCACGUUUUCA